rnacentral:rRNA from 1 species
UACGUAGGGGGCAAGCGUUGUCCGGAAUUAUUGGGCGUAAAGAGCGCGUAGGCGGUCCGAUAAGUCGGCUGUGAAAGUCAGGGGCUCAACCCUUGGAAGCCGGCCGAUACUGUCGGACUAGAGUCCGGAAGAGGCGAGUGGAAUUCCCGGUGUAGCGGUGAAAUGCGUAGAUAUCUGGAGGAAUACCGGUGGCGAAGGCGGCAUCCUGGACCGGCAUUGACGCUGAUGAGCGAAAGCUAGGGGAGCAAACGGG